rnacentral:sRNA from 1 species
AAAACAAAACACAACAGACUCAUCGUUUCUCAUUGGAUCAGUGCUGGGGCUUCAAAGAGGCCUGCUCAUCCCCAUGCUCUUGCGACCCUUUGCCGGAUGCCUCCCUACAGCAGCCGUGCAGAACAGAACUCUUUCUAAAACGUCACCCACAGCAGACGCCAGUGCUUCAGCCAUGGCUUGAACGUUCUCACGUCUCCCACUAUUAUCUGCAUCUGAGUUCUCUUUACUCCCCUUAAACUACGACCGUGAAAGAGAGCGAUUUCUACAUCAUUUAGUUAUUUAUCUCCGUAAUACUCAGGAGUGAAAUUUUUAAAAGUGGCUACCAUUACUCUUGCUGCUAACAAUUGGCAGCUAUCCUGGGGAAGUGGUACGCGGGAUGAAAUGAGCCCCUGUAGGAAACAUGGCCUUUUCUUGUUUCUAAUAUUUUUUCGUCUUUGGUGUCAUCAGUCAAAUUAAUCUAUUUUCUCUUUCCACAUGACUCUCCAAAGUGAGAGAGAAGUUAAGGGUUUGAAGAGGCUGUUCUGGGCUUCCCACUGAACAUGGGGCUUAGGAUGUGGCUGGGCACCUGCUUCCCUUAACCCCUUGAGAUCUGAGAAUUCAGAACCCUUUCCUGUAGCCUAGCAAAAACAAAAACAGGAACAAACAAGGUGGGGGUGGGGUAUGUGGUGGCAUGGGGUGGGGGAUGUAUUACAGAAUACCAGUGCUGGUAUCAUGUUUCUCUUCCCCAUCUCCAUGUCCUAUUCCUCUUCUUCAUUUAUUAUUGUUUUAAAAAAUAACUCAUUGUGUCCAAUUAGUGGUACCUAUUCAUGGCACCAUCCACUAGAGCUUAAAAAAUACACAGACUCUACCUCAUGCUCAUGUAUACUCGAGGGUACAGACCUGACAGUAUACAGAAGACAAGAGAGAACAAUGUAAAGGGCUGAGAGAAAUACAAGUUCUGAGACUUGGGGAGGCACGGUCUCUAUGUAGGAUCCGUGAGUGCCCGGGCAUACUUGGAACUGACACCCGCCGGGACCUACAGGAUGGAGACCUAGCAGGUUAUUGAUUUUGCAGGUGUCUGAAUUUGAAGUGACAAAUUACUUGGUUACAGUCAGCUUUAGUGUUGCCUUCUUUACACAACUACACUAACACAUUUCUAGGCAACUUUGAGGACUCUUAAAAUUAAAACGUUUUAUAAAUAACAAAGCCACAGAGGGAAAACCAGGUGUAUUUACUAUUAUCAAAGUUCAUCUCCAUGUGCGUGUCUGAACAUAGCAACAGCAGCACAGAGGGAUCGCCUCAGUUACCCUGCUCCUCUGGAUCAUUUAGCUGCUGGCUAUGGUAUAGAGCUUCCAUGGUAUAGGACUUCUAUGUUCUAGAACUCCCAUGGUAUAGAACUUCUAUGGUAUAGAACUUCUAUGGUGUAGAGCUUCCAUGGUGUAGAGCUUCUUGUUCCAUCUCUGACUCCUUCCCCUUGCCCUCUGCUACAUGUGCUAUUCCCUCCAUCCCAUGCCAUUCAGAGAACACAGCCCUACACUCCUGCAGAGGCAGACUCAGGUACCUCACAUCUCUGUGUCUAAUCCCUUUGGGGGGGGGGUGAGGAUACACAGCCACCAAGUCUUGUGAAGCUAUGCCAGCCAUCUCAGCCAUUCCCCCGACACAUUCGUGACAUCCUCCUGCCGUAGAGGCUGAGGAUUUAUGUGACUUUAAUUGAAGGCUACAGAAGGGACAGGGAAACAUCAGCUCCUAUCAAUCACCGCGUCCCUUGCUUUCAUUGUGUACUUAACAGCUUGUUACUUAUUCAGGAGGGGGAUUCUGCACUGAGUCUGUCUCCGUGCAAACAGUCUUCCCAGGCUGAAGAAAGCCCUGAAACAGGGAGGUGGCCUCAUUAGGCACACAGGCCUGUGCCGCAUACCGAAACAUGGAGACACAGUGCUGAUGACCACGACUACAGUGGGGGAGUCAAGGGUUCCAGCAUCCUCCCGCUUUCCUGUCUAUGUCCCCGCAAGACUUCCCAGGCGUGUUUGACACCAUGGCCCUUUGUUGUGUUUUCAAAGCGAUCCUUGCUUGGCUCUUCUCAACAAUGAACUCUGCGACUGUUUAACUGAAAUCUCCUAUGGGGGGAACUUGAUGUCUGGUUUACUGUGCUCUCUUACAGAAUGCCUGCAGCACAGCAGACCCCUGAAGGAGCGAGCAUACGGCUGCAUGCACGUGAGGAAUGCUAACACUCAGUCUUGGUUCUGACUCCCCUUUUACCUUACGCCUCUACGCCAUCUGUAGAGGCUUGAGGACCCUUCAUCUUUAUCUUUUCUAAGGGCCAUCCUUUAGGGGGCUCAUUCAAGACCCAGUACGGUUAUCACCCGGCUCUCAGCAGGUCAAGUACCAGAAUAAGGAGGCUGGAGCUUAGCUGACUGCCCCAUCUCAGGAGAACUACAGAGCAAGCAUCAGGAAGACAGGCAUAUACUCUGAGCCACAAGAGGAAGCCAGCAGAGAAACCUGUGUGUCCCACACAGAAUAGCCCUUGGAAAAGUGGUUUUACAUCAGGUCAGUUUCGCCUUUAAUGUGUUUGUUGGCCUCCUGCUGAGACAGAAUAGGUUCACCUUGUGAGCAGGCAAGCUCAGGCUGCCAGCCCUCAGCUCUUCAGAGCCACCCAGAGUUUUCCCAGGGCAAAGGCUUCCUGUCUCCCUCCCUUCAGUGUCCCCUACCUAGCUCUCAUGGUGGCAGCCUCUAUACCUAAAAUAUCAUAGUGCCUCAUGUCCCCCCAGUCCUCUCUGGGUUCCCUUAGUCCCCCCACCCCCGACCCAUACGCCCUGAAACCCAGCAAACCUGACCCUGCCUACAGUUGCCCAAUUGACGCAGAGCACAGUUCCGAACCCGUUCUCUCCCAUGCCUCUUUGGAGACUUUUCUUCCCUGUGAGCCACUCCGAGGCUACCACUCACACCUGUUUCAGUGUACCAGGCUGGCACGAUGCUUCAUGUCCUUUGUGGACACAGUGUGGCUUCUUUGGAAGCUUUUUUCAGAAUGGUCUAUGAAACGCCCCACUCCCCACAGCACCAGCCCAGCCUCAGCCUGGCUAUGGAAGCUGGGUGUGUCUGGGGUCCUGCAAGCGGUACCAGAGAGGCAAGGGUGGGAAAGCACCUCCCCCACUUUCCAGAGGCCAAUCAUUGUCUAAGGUAACCGUGAUUCCAAGUACAUGCCCUUUCACAGCUGGCCCACAUUCCAGGACAACAUCCAACAGAGAGCAGAGCCCUUCCAAAGGCAGAAUGAAUGGCUUUCCCGGUAUUAACUCCCUGGUGUUUAAUGUCCGUGGACUCUGCAGAGAGCCACCUCCGAGAAUCCUGCAGGCAUAAUUGCCUUUCUUGCACUAGACCAGACCUCCGCAUCUCAAUGUGGUUGUGGGGCACUGCCCAGAAUUAAGAACUACAGGAGUCAAAGAGACACAGCUGGAUUACUGACCCUAGAAGGACGGGGCGGCCUGCCUGCUCCAGACCUUGCUGGGAGGUGAAGGCUAUCGUGGGAAAAUGACUACGUAUGAGAGACAAGGAGAGUCCACUAGUGAGAGAGACAAUGCACUUAUUCUACGACGGGGUGGACUGCCUCGUCCUCAUUAAUGGUGGAAACUGAAGAGUAAUACUCCAUUUCACUAGGGACUGUUGUUAAAACAAGUCUCAAAGAGGAUAUAAGGAAUGGAACCAUUACCAGACCUGCAACCCACUGAUGAUGCAGAAGCCACUCGGCCAGGAAAACAAGAGAAGGGGCAACAGAGAAGUGAGAGGUGAGGGAGAGGCUUGCUUGGGGUAUGCUGGGUCGGGGCUCACUGGGGUCGGGGCUAGCUGGGGCCAGGCCGAGAAACAGAAGCUGUGCACUGAAGGCCAGUGUUGUGAUGAACUAAGACAGUCCUUUCAGUUCCACUGGGAAACAGUUUCAAGUGGCCAUCACCAUCUGAAGGCCAGGUAUGGGAACUCAUUUUUUCUUCAGAGUGUGGAAUGGGUGCCAGAACCCUGACAACUGUACACCUCAGGAAUGGCUGCCGUGGAGAGUGGGGUGCUCUCCUCGCAGCUUAGUGCUGACUACUCCUGAGGCCUGGGCUGGGUUCUGGGCUGGGAACCUAUAAGCCAAUCCACCUUUCUGGAACACAGAGAGCAUGUAUAAGAAAGCCAGAAUACUCUCCCAGACGUCACUGGAACCAUCUACUGUGCUGCGGUGACAGAGGCCCUGCGAUGUCUGACCCCUCAGAAACUCUCGCUGACUUCUGCCAUGUUCACAGUGAAGUCUGCCCUCCCAGAUGCAAAUCUCUGAAGCCAGAAAACCCCUCCAGGUUUCUCCUUUUCAAACUGUGGCCAGAGGGUGGCAAUCAAAACUAAUUCAAUAGGACACACCGUGGGGAGGGGAUGGGGCUGCAUGCACAGACAGGUACAGUACUGAAGUCGAAUGAGUUUUCACAAGACUGACUGUUUCUGAAGACAUAUCAAGAAAUGUGUUCUGUGGAAGAGGAGCUGGGCAGCCCUUUCCUGAAGAAAGAGACAGACACGUCACAGGAGAUGGGACAGCUGUGCAUUUGCCCCAUGGGACCAGCAUGACUUCCCACCUGGCUGAGUGCUCACCACACAGGUGAGCCUGGCUUCUGGCUCAUUCCUGUGUGUGCUUGCGAUUCUUGUGUAUCUUAAGCUUCUGCAUGGUAUGGAGCGCUGACCAGGAGGUUGGUACUAUCUAUUGAGUCAGUUAAUGAGCCUGGUCACUCCUCCUAAUGUCCUGGUUCUGACACAACCUUCUGUCCCUGCAGAAGGCUUCAUCUUGGCAGCAGGUGUGGACUCUUCUUGCCAGUGUGGCCUGACCAGAGACAUUUCUACCUCCUGUUAUUUUCUAGAUCCCCGUGAGUGCUCAUCAUCCAACAUGAGGGCCAGCACUGCAUCUUCUGAGACAAGGCAGAUGGGGAGAAGUUCAAGGGGACAGUGUCACACUGUCUGUCUGGAUGCUGUGUGUCCUCCCAAGGCAAUCUCUAAGAACCAUGCCAAGGCUUCUUAAAAAUGUCCAGCUCAGGUUUCUCCACAUGGAGGGAGUGAAGUUCAGGCCUUGAGCUUUUACUAAAGAGUUUACUUUUUUAUUGACUAGUGAAGCAGGCUCCCUUAGGGUUGUCGAGGCCAGGGAAGGGGGAGGUAAUUUUAUGCUUAUAUGGUGUCCGUUAGUCUCUGGGUGCCAUGACGCCCUCCUUCCUAACCAUGGAGCUGUGCUCUGUCUUAAGAGUAACUAAGGGCUCACAGGGAGGUGCCAUUCACAUGGGUGAAUUUGAUCCUCACCAUGUGAGGUACCUGUUCAGGGCCUGUUCUUCUGUUUCCUAGCUUGCCUUCCUCAUCUACAAUCUGUGGAUACUCUCGACGCCUACCUCUGUACUCACGCCAACAAGCUGGUGAGUUCUGCCCAGGGAUGGAGACCCAUCUGCAUAGAGAGCUGCUCUGCUGAGCUACCAAACACUCCUUCCACCUUGAUACACUCGGGAGGCUCCGAUAACUUCCAGGACAGCACAGGAUUUGAACCUUGUGACUAUGGAUGGUAUGCAGCUAGUGAGAGCGACUUCAUCCUACAGUGGCCAUGAGAUGAUGGAUGGACAGCAGAUGCUAUCAAUCUAUGGAUUCUCUGAACUGAAACGACCAAGCCUCUUACUAAGAUUGCUGCAGUUUGGAAUUCGAUAUCUUUUGGUAUCAAACCUACAAUGUGACUGUGAAUUACUGUUUCCACGUGGGAAGAUGAGAAUGUUCCCCCUGGUACUUCCUACCACAGUGAUUUCCCUCAUGCAUGGAUGAAGCAAUAAAACAUAUGAUGGGUUGGAACUCUGAAAAUGUGAGCCCAGGUAAACCUUUCUUCUUUUUAUGUUUGCGUAUCUCAGGUAUUUCAUCACAGUGAUGGCAAGUCCACCAACACAGGAUAGUAAAUAUUACACACCUAAACAUCCUCUUUUGCUAUUGAGCUUGGGAUCUAUAGAUCUUAUUAUUUUUUUUUUUUUUAGAUAAUAGAUCUUUCUACUUUCUUGAUCAUGGAAAGACAUACAAUAUCGUAAAAUCUAGAGACUUCUACUUAUAACCUAAUCGCUCUUAACCCACAAGAGUUAGUUCUUGGGUUGGAAGCUCCAACAGCUUCCCUACACCACCUACAAGGCCUCGGAUGCAGAAGCCUGCUGAUAAUGUCCACCUUCAAGACAAUAGCUGUAAGUCCUCCGCCUUCUGGGACAUUUGGAUGGAGACUGUCUUAGUUAAGGUUUUCACUGCCGUGAUAAAGACCAUGACCAUAAGCAACUCUGGAAGAAAGAGGUAACCCCAGUUCAUAUGUCUCAGGGAUACCAGGACAGGGACUUAAGGCAGGAGCCCAGUGCAGGGGCUAAAGCAGGGGCCAUGGGGGACUGCAGCUUACUAGCUUGCUCCUCAUGGUUUGCUCAGCCUGCUUUCUUAUAGAACCAGCCCAAGAGGUAGCAUUACCUACAAUAACCUGGGUGUUCCCACAUCCAUGUUCUGUUCUAUUGAUAUAGACAGUCUCGGUAAUAGCAACACUUGGAACCAAACACUGCUCAGAAUAGAUUAUGUAAGACCCCUUCCUUUAAUCAUGACCCUGUAGGAGGCAGGAAAGAUUAAGCUGGGGCCAAAGAGGCAAGGGCCAGAAUGGGGAGAGACUAGCUCACAGUGAGGUAUUAUGGUAUACCCACUGGAAAGGGUCAUGGUGCCAAGUGUAGGUGAGGGUGUCAUACAGUGUGAGCUGUCAGAUGCUGAUACUGAACAUGAACAUGAAAAGAAGAAGUAGCUAUUAUGGAGUAAAGAGGAAGAUCCAUCUUAUAUAUCAGUAGCAAGAAGUUGAUAUUAUGUGCAUCCUGGGGGCUAAAUAAGAAUGUGCCUAGCAAUACUGUUUACAAUCAACAACAACGUUACUACCUUAUCAAGUUGAUGCUAUUCAGUAACCACAAUGAAUGGACUACAGUUACGAACACCAGACUGGAUUAGCAGCAGUCACUACUCGUGCACAGUGACUGAGCAAUGGGCCAUGAGUACAGAGAGGAAAUGAUGUUCCUUAAUUGAAACAUUUACAUGCAUCACAUGUGUGUCUAUGGAGGCAAGAAGAGGACACUGGAUCCCUGGAACUUAAGUUGGGAGCUGCCUUGUGGCUGCUGGGAACUGAACCCAGGACCUCUGGAAGAACAGCCAGCGCUCUUAACCGCUGAGGUAGUACUACAGCCCCUGACUUUUUAAUUAUAUUUAAUGUCAAUGACUUUAAAUUUAAAUAACCAUAUUAGCUAGAUAUUUACUAUGUUGUGGACUUGGUAUGACAGUGUAAAACAGCCAACUUACAAUUUCCUAUUUACUACAUGUUAAAAUGACAAUAUUUGUGCUAUCCUAACUUAAAGAGUUAUUCUACAUCCACACUUUGUUUCUAUUUAGCAUGCCUAUUAUCAAUGUUCUGAGAUGUUUUAUAUAUGGCUCAUAUUAUACUACAGGCUACAUUUGUUUCUGGGAUGAUUUUGCUGGGAGGUAUUCAAAACAGAAGAAAAAGGAAAAAUUAUUACUAUAAGAUUCUCUUUCUCACAUAUGGUAUGUAUGUAUGUAUGUAUGCAUGUAUGUAUGUAUGUAUGUGUUACACAUCUAACUCAGAAGUCAUGGACAUCAUGCUAGGGAAAUACACUGUCACAGACCACAUCCCAGUUCAACAGUCUCUAUUUCAGUGGAUGAAGCAGCAGGCUGUGAUCAGAACAAGGGUGCUGGCUACUGUCUAGGUCUAGACUUGAUUGGUGGCUUCACGAACUUUUGCUUUAUAACAAUAUGUGAAAGCAUCUGCCUUCAGGAUGUUAUGCUGUGUGAAGCACCGUGUGCAACAGAAUAAAAAGGCAACCACCGUGAGACUCUGGCCCCGAGGUUUAGCGGCAGGAAACUACACAAAGAAAUAGAAUGGCCAUUAUUUGGGCCUGGGAUGAGUGAGGGACAGAGGGCUUUUUUAAGAAACUCUAUGCAGAGGUUCAUGUUUGCAAGAUGAAAAGAAUUCUGAAGACGGGUGGUGUGAUGGCUGUUCAGUUGUGCGAGAAGGCAAAUGCUACGCUGUGUGUAGUCCAUACAACUCAGAAAGCGUGAGUGCACUCAGUCCAUCUCCUCCAUCUCUACUCUAACCCUGACUCCUCCAUGGAAACGUCACCUUCAAGGAUGGCAAGGACACACACGGAGUUCCAGCCCUGAGUCCUUUGCUGGAACCAUGUCCCUGGCAUGGCUUGCUCCCUUUCGCUUGUGGGGUAUUGGCAGUAGUAACAAGGACGCUACUUUGGUGAUGGAGAAGUCACACAUUAUUGGCGUCUAUUUGCCAGACACUGCUAAGAAUUAGAAAGAGGUUCUGACAUAUUCUUGUGGUGUUAAAAUAAGAGUGAACAUCGAGAACUGAAUCUGCCUUCUAGGAAGGUACAAUUGUUCCUUGGUAUACGGUGGGGUUUGGUCUCAGAACUCCAUAAAUGCUCAAAUCUAUGGAUAUUCAUAGUCUUUCUAUAAAAUGUGUACAUUUUGCUUGUAACCUAAGCAAACUCUCCUGAGUACUUUAAAUUGGCUCUAUGGGGUACAAUGGAAUCGCGAGGUAAAUCGCUGCUCUCCCUUACUGUUUCUGGCAUAAUGACUGGAAAUUUGCACCCCUUCAGUAUAAGCACAAGUUUCCCUCCCAAAAUUUCAAUCUGAGGUUGGUUGACUCCUUCGAUGUGCUGCCUAGCAAGAUGGUGAGCUAACACUAUAAACAGGCUAGCCUCCAGAAGGAGCCAGCCUACAGAAAUCACAGGGAGGACCUUUACCAGUGGAAAGCAAGGUGGUUAUUGUGGGUGUGCUGUUUAGUGCCAAGUGUCAGCUUGGCACAGAUUAGAGUCACCUGGAAAAUGACCUCAGAGUGACUGCCAAGUUAGGUGGGCCUGUGAGCAUGAGAUGAUGUUAAUUGAUGUGGGAAGACCCAGCCUAGAGUAGGUGCCACCAUUCUGUGUUUUGGGAUCUCAGACUACGCAUGCAUGAGCUCGCUGUCUCCCUGCCCUUGAGUGUAGGUGUGGCCAACUGCUUCACUGUUCCCUGCCUUGGUUUCCCCAUAAAGACACUGUGACCCAGAACUGUGGGCUGAAACAAACCCCUUUUGCCACCAACUUGCUUUUCCUGUGGUAUUUUAUUAUAAUAACAGAAAGGGAAGGAGGCUAAUCCCUCAUCCUUCUAUAGGUUUGUGUGAAAAGCAUCCUUGCUAAAUAGCAAUUUAAUAAAUAGGAGGGUAUAUAACACACACACACACACACACACACACACACACACACACACACACACACACUGAACCACCAUGGAAAGAGGCAAUGUGAGUGACCCUUUUAGGUUCAAAGCCUCUGCUCAUUGCUGCUGUGGCUUCCAGCAUCUAACCUGAAGUCUAGUAGCCAGUGAACCGCAAAAUCAACAUUGACUUGUUGGGAACAAAUAGUUUGCAUCGCCAGAUUUUUUUGUUUUGUUUUGUUUUUGUUUUUCAGAUUCUACCUUCUCUUAAGUCAGAUAUGUACUGAGAUGAAUACACCAUAACCAUUCUUUUACGGAGGCGAAGUUAUUCUCUGAGGUAAUCGUGAAGCUGAGUCCUAGCAAAGGUUUGUAAGGAGAUGCCUAGCAGACAUUUCUAGCAUGUAACAAAUGCCACCAGGGUCACCCAGAAUGAAGAACGAAUGCCCAGACUCACGGACAGUCCCUGUUCUGAAGGCCACCAGCUGGGCCUUUCUAGGCCAAGGACCUGGGCAUUGUUGUUGAAUGGAGGAGGAGGAGCGUUCAGAGAACUCCACUGGUCAUGUAUAAAUUUGGGAAGUCCAACAGGAUCUACGGCUACCGGUUGUUAACCAUGGAAAUGGUAUGGCCAACACUUCAAAGACUUAGUGUUUCUGGAGGUCCCAGCCAGGUAAGUUUGAGAUGACUCAGACAUCGGCAUUAUUGACGCCCAUCUAAGCAUCUAUCCUAGCAUGAGGUUUUCCUCUGGUUAUGCCAAAGCUCUUUCAUGUUCUUAUUUUGUGUUGAAUGAAAACAUCGGAAUUUCCAGAAUCCCGGAUAUCUGCAUUUGAAAGACCUCAAUGGGGGACUCGGAGGUCCUUGACUUUGCCGAGCUUCAGUAAGGAGGGACAUGUCUCCUCUCUUAGGACUGUUGGGAGGACUAAGUACAACCAUACAUGUCAGUCCUGGAACAAGGCCCUGUUCAUUCCUUCAUCAGUCAGAUUUUCCUCGCUGAGACCAGACGCCAGAGAGAGAAACUCAGAGGAGCAUGUUCCAAAGCUUCUGAGGCCUUGGUCUGAUUCUGGCGGAGCAGAGGGGACAGAGGAAUACAGGAGAGGCCCAGGGAAAGCAAGCAGUAGCACUGAGGACGACAUCUCCAGUGACCGCUGCCUCCUGACUUUCACCAGUUCCCAAUGAGGCCGUCUAUGUUAACGGCUCUGGCAGGGGAAUCUAUCCACUGACAGUGUUAGAGUCCUCAGGAUCGGAUCAUUCUCCCAGACCCAUCAGCCGGGAACCAAGUCACUAACAGUUCCUACUCGGAAGACUCCCCUCGUUUGUGGGAAUGAAAGCAACAUUCUGGUUUAAGUUUCAGAACAGAAUUCAGAGCCCUGAGAGCAUGCCUUGUGCUUUGAGAACAGAAAAGCUUAGGAACUGAGAGCUCUAAGUAGCCGGCCCCUGGGGGUGGAGGUGGGGGUGAGGACCAGAACAGCGCCUAAUUUUGAAGGGAAACAGGAAGAGGUCUGAGUCACACUCAUCAGCUCUCACACCGGGAUCUCCAGGCAGCUACUUAGUAACUUUUCUAUCCUCCUCCUGUGCUGUGAAUCAAAGAGCUUAAGAUCCCAGGCUCUGGAGCCAGCCAGAAUUCUGGUGUGAACCCUAGUCCUGUCACUUUCUGGUUAUGAGACCUUGAACGGAUUGAUUAGUACCUCGAUUUCCCCUGCUGUAAAUGGGAUCAGUAAUACUGCGGACGUUUCACAGCAUGAGGGUUGAGUGAGUUAAUAAAAUGUGUUCACAAGAGAGGGAAUGCUAGCCAUCACAGUUUUAGGGCUGAAAAUGGCAUAGCCUAAGACCAGAUCAUUUUUCACCUGGACUAUUUCAUCUGUCUGUCUGUCAUAUAGAUCUAUGCUGACAGAAGUUUUUCUUUUUUCUUUUUUCUUUUUUUUUGG